rnacentral:rRNA from 1 species
UAAAGAAAGCGUAAUAGCUCACUGGUCGAGUCGGCCUGCGCGGAAGAUGUAACGGGGCUAAACCAUGCACCGAAGCUGCGGCAGCGACACUAUGUGUUGUUGGGUAGGGGAGCGUUCUGUAAGCCUGUGAAGGUGUACUGUGAGGUAUGCUGGAGGUAUCAGAAGUGCGAAUGCUGACAUAAGUAACGAUAAAGCGGGUGAAAAGCCCGCUCGCCGGAAGACCAAGGGUUCCUGUCCAACGUUAAUCGGGGCAGGGUGAGUCGACCCCUAAGG